rnacentral:rRNA from 1 species
GACGAACGCUGGCGGCGUGCUUAACACAUGCAAGUCGAACGAAGUGGCGAACGGGUGAGUAACGCGUAAUCAACCUGCCCUUCAGAGGGGGACAACAGUUGGAAACGACUGCUAAUACCGCAUACUGAAGGAGGGGAUUGCGUCUGAUUGGCAAGUGGGAGGGGAAACGGCCAACCAAGGAGAUGAUCAGUAGCCGGGCUGAGAGGGUGAACGGCACCAUUGGGACUGAUACACGGCCCAGACUCCUACGGGGGGCAGCAGUGGGGAAUCUGCCGCAAUGGACGAAAGGCUGACGGAGCAACGCCGCGUGAGUGAUGACGGCCUUCGGGUUGUAAAGCUCUGUUAAUCGGGACGCGGUACCGGAAUAGAAAGCCACGGCUAACUACGUGCCAGCAGCCGCGGUAAUUC